rnacentral:misc_RNA from 1 species
AGAGGAAGUAAAAGUCGUAACAAGGUUUCCGUAGGUGAACCUGCGGAAGGAUCAUUAAUGAUAAAAAAAAUCCAUUCAGUACGUUUCGAGCGAAUGGUGCGAGGAUGAUGACCUAACCCCUUCCCGGGAGAGGCAUAUUACUCAACGUAUGUAAUUAAAACGUAUCGCGAUCUAACGUCCGAGGAGGAGUUAGGCGUGCGUCACCGGUUUUGCCGGUUUGACAACAUUUUUCCACGAUCGUGCUAUCGAGAAUGAGAUAAUGUCAAGACUCAAUAUGGGGGAUCACUUAGUCCUUAGAGCGAUGAAAAACAUAAUAAUUUGUGGAAAUUGAUGUGAGUUGUGAAAUUUUGUGAGCAUUGUGUUUUUGAAUGAAAAUUUCAGCGUGGAUGCGUCGUGUCUUCGCUACAUUUGAUUCAGUAUAUAGACUGUAGAAUACGUAGUUACUAUUGCUGGAAUGCAAUGGUAGAAAUAUAGUCGCAAUCGCAAGAGGGAAUGAAAUGGAUAGAGAUGACGUGUAUCUGAAAUCAAGUGUGUUGACCCCCUGAAUUUAAGCAUAU